rnacentral:rRNA from 1 species
AGUGAACGCUGGCGGCAGGCCUAACACAUGCAAGUCGAACGGCAGCACGGCAGUAGCAAUACUGUGGGUGGCGAGUGGCGGACGGGUGAGGAAUACAUCGGAACGUACCCUGUUGUGGGGGAUAACUACGCGAAAGCGUAGCUAAUACCGCAUACGCCCUGAGGGGGAAAGCGGGGGGACCCUAAAUAGAGCGCACUGGGGAGUGCGUUGUAUUUAGGGCCUCGCGCAAUAGGAGCGGCCGAUGUCGGAUUAGCUAGUUGGUGAGGUAAAGGCUUACCAAGGCGACGAUCCGUAGCUGGUCUGAGAGGAUGAUCAGCCACACUGGGACUGAGACACGGCCCAGACUCCUACGGGAGGCAGCAGUGGGGAAUUUGGACAAUGGGGGCAACCCUGAUCCAGCCAUGCCGCGUGAGUGAAGAAGGCCUUC